GACGAACGCUGGCGGCGUGCCUAAUACAUGCAAGUCGAACGAACCGCGACUAAGUGCUUGCACUAAGUCAAGGUGAGUGGCGAACGGGUGAGUAAUACGUGGGUAACCUACCUCAUAGUGGGGGAUAACAGUCGGAAACGACUGCUAAUACCGCAUAGGACAUAGGAUCACAUGAUCCAGUGAGGAAAGGUGGCGCAAGCUAUCGCUAAGAGAUGGACCCGCGGUGCAUUAGCUAGUUGGUAGGGUAAAGGCCUACCAAGGCGAUGAUGCAUAGCCGACCUGAGAGGGUGAUCGGCCACAUUGGGACUGAGACACAGCCCAAACUCCUACGGGAGGCAGCAGUAGGGAAUCUUCCGCAAUGGACGCAAGUCUGACGGAGCAACGCCGCGUGAGUGAAGAAGGUCUUCGGAUCGUAAAGCUCUGUUGUUAGAGAAGAACAGCGCAUAGAGUAACUGCUAUGCGUGUGACGGUAUCUAACCAGAAAGCCACGGCUAACUACGUG
rnacentral:rRNA from 1 species